AACGUAGGGGGCAAGCGUUGCUCGGAUUCACUGGGUGUAAAGGGCGCGUAGGCGGAUAAACAAGUCGGAUGUGAAAUCCCGGGGCUCAACCCCGGAACUGCAUCCGAAACUGUUUAUCUGGAGUAGUGGAGAGGAAAGCGGAACUCCUGGUGUAACGGUGAAAUGUGUAGAUAUCAGGAGGAACGCCGAUAGCGAAGGCAGCUUUCUGGACACUUACUGACGCUGAGGCGCGAAAGAGUGGGGAGCAAACAGG
rnacentral:rRNA from 1 species